AGACAACCCGUUGAGGGAACAUCCAUGACAUUCACGAAUCUGAGUUUCAAGAUCACGAGCGAUGCGCAGGUGUAGAAGCUUCCCGGGAAUGUGUUUUUGGUGUUCGAAUUAUAAGAAACUUCCAGCUCACGUACAUUGCGAGAAACCGAAAUCUCAACCCACCGUUUGAUAUUUUCAGGUUCAACAAAAUAGAGGUCGAGACGCAAGCUUUCUAUGACCGGAGCUCUAUGUAAUGGCAGAUUCUUGUCAACAAAUUCCCAAAGUGAUGCAGACUCUUGGUUGGAAGAUACGAUAAUAUCUUCACCAGCAAGUCAUCAGUCUGGCCAUAUCGUACAGAUUCGACGAGAUACUAAAAGAAAAUUGGAUUCUUGGUCUUCCCUGGAAAAAUAUUGAAAAAGAACUCAAAAGGAUUUCGUCUAAAGCCAAGCAAAUGAACAGAACAAAAACCCUAGAAAGAAAUUACCUUUGAAGUUAAUUUAGAUGGCUCGAUUUCUGCUCGGAAACCGGAAUCAGAAGAUAAAUCAGAGGUUCCACAAGAACUGCGAAAGCCAAGCAAAUGAAUUAGUAACGAGAGAAAACACACAGAACAGAACAAAACCCUAGAAAGAAAUUGAUGGAAUGGGACAAAACCCUAGAAGAAAAGACCUGUGAAGUUAACUAGAGGCUCGAUCUCUGUUCGGAAACAGGAAUCAAAUCGGAAGUUCCACAAGAAGUGAUAAAAUAUAUACCACAACAAACCGGAAUCAUAUUUUUUUUUUCAUUUCUUUCACGUUUCUCGCAAGUUUAAUGUUUGAGCUGAUACUUUGGCUAAAUCUGCUCUACGUAUCUCAAUUACGAGAUGGAACGAGACCGUUUAAGUAAUGAAAAACUACAAAUUGACCACACAAAAAAAAGAGAAACAUUUAAUAAACUAGAAUUAUGUCGAAGACAAACCAUACGAGCAGAGUACAUAGCAGAGUCGGAAGAUUCUUAAACGGUCUUAUGUACUAGACGUUCAUUAGUCGGAAAAACUAGACAUUCCUAUGUACUAGACGUCCAUUAAAUACAUAGUUUUUGAAUUGUUCAUCGGAUAUAGGAUACUCCUCAACAAAUACGAGCUCGCAUGUGCUUGAAGCUCGGGAAGAAAGUGUCAACUCCUUGAGCAUCUUAAGGUCUGGCACAUAAUACUCUUGUGUAUCAGCCAAGAAUGUUGCCUUCUUUAAGUGACAAGCGUUUCUCAAAAUGUAAACCGCAAUAUCUCUAUCUUGUGGUCUCCCAAAGUACCUUGACCAGUUGAGAAUUUGUAGACUCGACAACAGGCAUUCAGGAACAGAACUCGGUUGAUUCCAGCACACCAUUUUAUUUCUCCCAUCAUCGCCAUGAUACUGAGACCAAGCAGAAGAAUCAGAUAAAAGACCAUAUUGCGCAUUAAACCAGCAAAAACAAAAGUUUAUCCGACAAACUUACUUCCAUGUGAGAGAUGUCUAGUACUCGCAAGUUUGGAGAAAUUUUGAGCAAAUGGCCAAGGAGAUGCGAUGAUUCCUGUUUGCACACACAUAGCUGUAGAUGUUCAAGCUGGUUGAAACCAAAACCAUCACCAGACAAAUCAUCCUGCCCCACGAUAUUAAGAGAAUGAUUAAACAGAGGAUUCCACAAAUGAGAUUGAAGACUUUUUGCUGCAAUUGAUAAACGAGAAAUGAUUACCUCUGAACAUAUUGUGAGACGCUUGACCGACUUGAUUGAUCCUAUAAGACUCUUGAGAUCAUAGCACGGAACAUCAACAUAUGAUUCCUUCAAAUUAGGCAUAUCCUCAAUCUCAAUGUAGUGUAUCAUACCAUUCCAAUCCUCAAGUUUCAAAUACUUCAAAGAAGGAGUAUCUAUCACAUACCCAUCAAAUUUCCAAUAAUCAGCUACAGAGAGUGACAAGCUCUGUAAGGACGGGACAAUGAUAGUGAACCCUCCCAUAUUAUGGCGUCGACAUUCAAAAUGUACCGAUAGUUCUUCAAGAACAGGACAUAUAGAUAGAAGUCGUUGAAGAUUAGCGUAUUCAAGACAUUGAAGCUUCAAGGUUUUGAGAGAGUGAGGACAACCCGUUGAGGGAACAUCCAUGAGAGUCACGUCUUCGAGUUUCAAAAUCACGAGCGAUGCGCAGGUGUAGAAGCUGCCCGGGAAUAUGUUUUCGCUCUCCGAAUCAUAAGAAACUUCCAGCUCACGUACAUUGCGAGAAACCGAAAUCUCAACCCACCUUUUGAUAUUUUCAGGUCCAACAUGUGGAUUCCCAAAAUUGAAGUCGAGACGCAAG
rnacentral:lncRNA from 1 species